GAUAAGGAGACAAAGAUCUAUAAUUUGUUGAGUGAAGUGCAUAUAGGGGAGGAAGAGGAGCAUAACUCCUUGACUACUCAAAGAAGCUCGUCAUCCUCUUACAAGUCAGUAGGCCCAAUGGACUCCUUUGCUGCUCGUUCUCCCGAAAAGACCGUCCAAUUAGUAGCUAAGGGCAAACAACCAUCGAUGGACUCCAAGCUAAGAAAGAAAAAAAGGGAAGAUGUUAUGCAAUACAUUUCCAAAUGGUUCUUUGAAGCUGGCAAUCCAUUUCAUACAGCCACACUUCCCUCUUUCCAUCAAAUGCUACAAACCGUGGGGAUGUUUGGAAGUCAUUUACAAGCUCCAUCAAUGUACGAGUUGAGCGAGACUUGCUUGCAGAGAGAGGUGGAUGCAACGAAUGAGAUUGUUGAGAACUUCAAGAAGACAUGCAUUGUCAAUGAUUGUUCCCUGAUGACUGAUGCUUGGAGUGAUCGAAAGUCUAGAAGUAUCAUGAACAUAGUUGUACACUCUGCCGGGAGGGCAUGUUUUUUGUUAUCACAUGAUACAUCGGCCGAUAAGCAUGAUGUUGACUAUAUUUGUGACUUUGUAGACAAGGUUAUUGAUGAGUUAGGGGAGGAAAAUGUGGUGCAGAUUGUCACCGAUGGAGCUUCAAAUAAUAUGGCGGCCUCUAAGAAAUUGGAGGAGAAGAGAAAAAACAUAUUUUGGACCACUUGCGCAGCGCACACCGUGAACUUGAUGUUAUGCGACAUAGUCAAGUUCAAACCCAUUCAUAAUGCCAUUACAAUGGGGAGGAGUGUAUCGGUAUUUAUAUAUAAUCAUACCAAGCCUCUUCAAUUGUUUAGAGAGUUUACUAAGGGUGAUCUUGUGAGACCGGGGGUUACAAGAUUUGCUACGACAUUCCUCUCACUGCAAUCAUUAAGGGAUCACAAGAAAGAGAUGAGGCGGAUGUUCAUCUCUGAUCAAUGGAUGGAUUGUAGCCUUUCAAGAAUAACAGCGGGCAAAAAGGUAUGUAUUUAAACUUUAAAAAUUAAAAUUGAUAGUUACAAAGUAUUCCUUUCAUCAUUUAUAUUUCACUCAUUCUUUAAUUGUUUGUAUUAUUUGUAGGUUGCUGAGAUAGUUGCUAGCAACAAGUUCUGGGACAAUACAGACUUUGCCCUCAAAGUUUUCAAUCCUUUAGUGAAGGUUCUCCGGAGAGCCGAUGGUGAUAAAGUCCCAUCUAUGGGAUUUAUAUAUGGAGAUAUGUUGGUGGCCUUAGAAGAGUUGAAAGUAACCCUUGGAAAUGAUGAGAAAAAAUAUAGUCCCAUAUUGAAAAUGAUUAAGGCAAGAUUCAAUAAGAAGCUUUGUGAUUCACUACAUAAAGCGGGCUACUACUUGAAUCCAUAUUUCUAUUAUCCGGCUUACACGAAAAUUAAAAAAGAUGGAACUUUCAUGACAUCACUUGUAGAUUGUAUGCAUAAAAUCUUCCCAAAUGACCAUGCGACUUUCACAAAGAUUGGAGCUCAAUUACCUAAUUAUCAAGAACGUCUAGGGUCAUUUGGAAAUGAAUAUGCGAAGCGCGAAGCUUCUAAGGGUGAUUGUCCAAGUAACUUUAUAAUAUUAAAUUAAUUCAUUAACCUCUAUUACAAAUUUAUAAGUUACUAAUUUUUUUCAAAUAUGAAUUAACUAGUUACAUGGUGGAGGCUUUAUGGGAAUGAUACUCCCGAAUUGAGAAAGAUGGCAAUGAGAAUUUUGGCCUUGACAACUAGCUCUUCGGCAUGUGAAAGAAAUUGGAGCACAUUUGAGAUGAUUCAUACUAAGAAGAGAAAUAGAUUAUCUCACAAAAAGCUUCAUGACCUCGUCUUUGUCAAAUUCAAUGCAAAAUUGAAGAACAAACAUGCCGUCAUAGAUAGAGAUCCUUUGUGCGCCUAUGAUGAUGAGGAAAUGAUCUCUAAAUGGUUGAUGGGUUCAAACGGGGAUGAUAGCGAUGAUGAAGUAUUUCCGGGAGAAUGUUUGACUUUUAGGCAAGUUGGUGACAUUUCAGGAGCUAAUCCAAGAAAGCGAAAAAGUGCACGAACACAAACCUAUAAAAGAAAGAAAAUGUCGGUAUCAUCUUCUUCGAAGGGGAAGGAGCCGGUGGAGGAUGAUGAGGAAGAAGAUAUUGAGACAUCAUCGGAGUCGAAUGAGGAGGAUGUUCUUACUCUUGAUUUUGAUGAGGAUUGAUUAGUCCUCUUAGUUUCAAUGUUAUUUUGGAAUUACUUUUGGAUAAUUGGAUGUUAAACAAUUAUGAGCUAUUUGUAACUUUGAAAACUUGGUUGUAUGUUUGCUUUGUUUAUGUUUCUCUAUGGAUAUGAAUCUUGUGAUUUUCAUUCUAUAUAUUAUAAUUUAUAUGUCACUUGCUUCAUUCCUUAUAUGCUAUUCUAUGUUUACUAACAACAUCUUCAUAUUUUGUAGGUCAAGCACUCGGAUGGUGUCAAUAUGCACUCGGGAAUCAGGUGUCUACAAUUGGUUAGUGAUCCUAACAUCAAUAAUCAUAUGUUUUGACAAUAUAAUUAUCAAGUAUGUGAAGAUUCCAUUUAUGAUAUUAUAUCAACCUAUCCAAUAUGACAAUCCGAUAUUUUUUUUAUGUCCCCCGAUAUAUCCCCGAUUUCCGCUAUCGGACAUGAAUUUUGGCCGACCGACAUGAACCCGACAUCCGACAUUUAAAACAUUGGAAAUAAGUGCACUAGACUUGUGGCAUCAUGUAAGAUCAUAGUUUAUAUUUUGAAACCUCCAUAAAUGCUCUUUAUCAAAAAGUAUGUCCAGAAUAAAAACUAAGCAUGGCAUUUGAUCUGUAAUGGCGAGGAAUAAUGGCAACAGAAUAAACAAAAUAUUUGGGGUGUUUAAGAGAAAAUAUGAAGACAACCUAGUGGGUCCUCUUUGCCAAUUAAGCCUAUUAAGCCCAACAAUCAUUCCCUCAAACAUGCCUUUACAUAUCUUUGCAUAUGUUCCCAACCACAUCAACACAAGUUUUGAGAACAAUUUCUCUUGGAGAUCUGAUCAGCUUUGAGCACAAAAUUAUCUUUGAGUUGCCUACAACUCCCUGAGUGCAUAUUAUGCAUACAUCAUAUUAUCCUUGAGCUGUCUACAACUCCUUUUGAGUGCUUAGUACAUAUACAUCAUACGCAUCAUAUACAACUCCCUGAGUACAUGGUGCAUAGUACAUUAUCAUUGACUUGUUUAUAACCACCUUUUCACAGUGUACUCGCCUACUCAUAAUAUAUCUUAUGUUUCUCAUUAAGUGCAUAGCAUUAAUAUACGCAUUACCAAAGCCCGAUGCAUCUUGGACACAUUAGUGGUUUUUUCCCCCAUUUCUUAUCCUUCUUAUGCUGCUGACUAAAACUAAAC